CAGGCUGCGGGAAGCUGCAAAGCAGGCGCGGGGAAGCCGCAAAGUAGGCGUCGCAAACGUACCUCUGAUCAGAAAGCCGGGGGAGCGACUAGGCAGUGGCCUAAACGUACCGUUGCGGAUUCGACUCACGGGCGCAGCCGCGGCUACUUUGCAGCGGGUUCGGGCCAGGCCCAGCCUGCGGCGGCAACAGCGGGUCUCUGACCGACCGUGAGCCUGGGGACUUUGUCUCCAACGACUGCGGGUGCAGCGGCCUGAGUUCUAAGCGCAGGAGAUGAGUAUACAUCAACAUUUUUAGAAGAAAACGUACAUUGUCACCUUGCUGGGAGAGGCCUUAGGAAGUACUGCUAACCAUCUACCCUGUCAUCAGAAUAGAAGUCCUCCUGGAUUCACGUGAGAUACCAAGCUAGAUCCAUAUCAUCACCCCCCCGCCCCAGGACAGUUAGAAGGCCAUCCCUAUGCGUGACCUCAAAUUGAGGAUUUCAAGAGCUCACUCAGGCUCCAGAAGCAGACGACACCACGAAGUAGACAGCUUUACCCAAGAUCUCCGAUCGAGAAUUUUGUCUCCAUUUAUCUUCCCUUGCAACCUCUGCCUGACCUGCAAAAUUCUCUGACCUAGAAAUUUAAACAAAACCCUUCCUCUUUCAGUUACAGAAGGACUGACUGGAGGUUGCUUGUCUAAACCUAUCCUCCCUCUGUUCCCCCACUACGGGCUCCCUUUCAGACUGUGUCUUGCUUCAGCGAAUUCUUACUGCUUUUUCAACAGUUUUAGCAUGGCCACAACACCCACUCACACCAAUCUUUCAGACCCUGGCCACCUUAACUAAUCAGUCUAAUUGCUGGUUAUGUCAGCGUCUAAAUAACGCACCAGAACCUGACCUAGGUUUUGUCCCUGCCAGUGCAAGCACCUGGUGGACCCAUUCUGGACAGUGGAUGUAUGGAAGGCACUCUGCUUCCUCCUACGGCAGAGUGACUUGGCAUUGGGGAACCCCCAUGGAGGCUCGAGGUCUGUCCUUCACUCAGAUGACACCUUCAGAUCCUCCAAAGAUGUUAUAAAUGAGUUCCAGACUGAUUAUUAUAAUGAUACAAAUGUUUGCCUCGUCACUGGACAGUAUUCCUGGUCUGCAGGCCACACAAAUAGGACCUGGAACCGCUCAGCUGUUCCCCUGGUUGGUCUGCCCGAUACCCCAGGCCACAAAUGGGUCGACCAGAAUUCUGGAAUGACCUGGUCAGCCUGACAGAGGCACAUGGGAAAUGGAGAUAUACAGUUGCCAACAUAACUAACGACAAAGACCACCAUGGACACCGAACUCCAACCUGGUGGGUCACAGGUUCCACUCUGACCUUGUUUGUGAACACCUCUGGUCUGUUUAUUUUAUGUGGCAAUAAGGUAUAUAAAGGGUUCCCACCUAAAUGGUCAGGGCGAUGUGGACUUGGCUACCUGGCACCUUCCCUCACUAGUUAUCCCACUUUAAAUGCUAGCCGGAUUACAGACCUGGGCUCCUUCAGGCAUAAAGUAGCACCGCGUAGAUGCAUCCAACCAGACAUUGUAGGCAAGCCACUCAUGUAUCGCAAUACUGAUUCAGUAAGGACCCUUUUUCCAAGCUUGAAAACUUCUGAUCUAGAAGAAGCAAUUCUGAACAUUUCCAAAGUCAAGGAACAAGGAUUCACUGGCACCCCGCAGACCUUGAAAGCACGUCCGUCAGGGGUUAGCAGUUUCGCCUCUGUGCUCUGAAAUCGCCAUCUCCUGGCUACACAGGCUGCCCAGCAGGGAACACAGUGUGCCAUCAUUGGCAGACGGUGCUGCUUGUAUGUAAAUAAAUCAAAUGAAGUACAGGAUAGUUUGAACCGUAUAAAAGAAUGGGUUGACAUCCUACGUAAAAUGAGUGAAGCACCGUUGAUUAAUUGGACUGACCUUGAGAAUAAGAGACUGGUUCAGUGAAAGAUGGGGCUAUGUGUUGGGAUUUGCUCUUUUAUGCGUAUUCAUCCUCGUUAUCUGUUUUUGUUCGCAGAUCUCUUACCUCCCAACUUCUAAUCCACGUCUCCCCACAGCAAUCUCCCCAGCUCCUUGCCUAUGAAACUUCAUGACAGGGAGAAAGCUGUUGACCACUUAAUCUGGGAUGAUCUGCUGUACUCUCCUGAUUUCCCGUGAGCAUUUAAUCUAUGGUCUAAAGGGUCGUUUGUCUGGUAUGAGUUGUAGCUGUCUUAUGAUUAUGGGCAGCAGCAGCAAGGGGGGCUGUAGGGACCAAGUGGAGGUAGCAUUUAUCGUAUUGCACGUGUCACUCCAUUGCUCCUGUCCUUACAUUAUUCCGUUUAAUUCUCACACAGUGUUCUUCCCGUUUUACAGAUGAAUAAAUUGGAAGGGUAGAUAACUUGCUAAAGAUUAUACCAUUACUGGGACUUCCUGGUGGUCCAGUGGUUAAGACUCUGCACUCCCAAUGCAGGGGGCAUGGGUUCAAUCCCUGGUUAGGGAACUAAGAUCCCAUGUGCCGUGCAGCGCAGCCAAAAAAAAAAAAAAAAAAGACUAUACCAUUACUGAAAAUAAGAGCAAGAUGCAGAACUGGUAGCUAGUGUGCAACCUUUCAUAGAGCAGAGGAAAGAGGAAAAAAUACACAGCCAUUCCUCGGAGAUAUUGUGGGUUUGGUUCCAGACCACUGCAAUAAAGGGAGUCGCACAAAUUUUUUGGUUUCUCUGUGCAAAUAAAAGUUAUGUUUACACUAUACUGUAGUUUAUUAAGUAUGCAGUAGCAACAUGUCUAAAAAACAAUGCACAUCCCUUUAUUAAAAAUAGUUUCUUGCUAGAAAAUGCUAACCAUCACCUGAGCCUUCAUCACGUCAAUCCUUUUUGCAAUAGUGACUUCACAGAUCACCAUAAGAAAUAUAAUAAUAAUAAUGAAAAAGUUUGAAAUAUUGCGAGAGUUGCCAAAAUGUGACACAGAUGCAAAGUGAGCAAAUGCUCUUGGAAAAAUGGAACCAACAGACUUGCUCCACACAGGGUUGCCACAAACUGUCAAUUUGUAAAAUAUGCAGUAUCUGCAAAGUGCAAUAAAGUGAAGCAAUAAAACGAGGUAUGCCUGUAUGUAUACAUACAUAUACUUACUCAGCUUUGCAAAAAGACAACUGAAAGUUGAAUAUAAACGAACUAAUGAACAUUAUAGCAAAUUGACAACUUCACAUAGAGAAAAUUAUUUCAAAAGUUAUUUCAAGCUAUGCCAAAAAAUGAACAGUAUUCUGGGUACAUCCUUAGAGGUGGGUUUAUUGUUCAUAGUGAUAUUGGUAUCAAAAGAAGAUAAAAUAUGAAAACUGUUCCAGUGGUACAGGGCAUAGUAAGAGGGGGACUCAUGAGCAGAAGUCCUCUAUCUGUUCCUUUCCUGUGUGUGUUAAGCAAACAGUAGUUAAACUCUUGCACUGAAACUAGAGAAACCAUUAAAAGAUGAGCAUUCAGCUUUCAGUAUUGGGUAUUUUGUGGUACCUGGAUAGAUGAGGGUCAUGGGAUGCUGAAUUAGAGUGGCAGGAGUGUUCUAAGCAAUUGGGGGAAGUGAUAGGAAAAGAAAUCUAGAUUCUUGACACAAUCUCAAUUUUCUUCUGUAAAAUGGAGAAAAACAGUAAAGGGUAGGUAGGCCACCACUGCUUUCUCGGUGGCCUUUUUGACAAAAACAAUGAUAUAAAGUUUAUUGUUAACGAAUUUCCUUUCAGGAGAAGUUUGAUAGCUACUGACCCUUGGAAUUCAGUGCUCAAGGGUCACUUUUAAAGAGGUUUGAGACAGACUAGAUUAUAAACUUAUUUGUAUACCUAUUGUCUGUUCCCUGGUAGAAUGUAAGCUUCACAAGGACAGGCAUAUUUGUUGAAUCACAAUGAAGAGGGUUGUGGUGAGGAUUGAGUAAUGCAUGUAAAGCUGACCUUGGGCAUUGCUUAACUAAAUGUAAGAUAGAGUUCACUUAGAGCCAAUAUGAGUAGCAGGUUUGAAUUUUGGCAUUGGUUGUUGUCAGAUGUAAAUUUCCAAAAACUUAUGAAUAAAGUUGAUUAUAUGCCAUUUUGGAGUUCUGAUCAUGGCUUACUUUGUUUCCCUUUUCAAGUAUUCGGGUACAUUAGAAACCUUAUGCAUAUAUGCAAAUCUACUUAUUCAGCCCUUAUUUCACACCAUUGAGUUCUAACAAAGUCAGGAGGAAAAGUUGUGAAAUGAGAGUGUAGUAAUUGGAAUGUUAGAAAAUGUCUAUUGGAAGGAUAAGGUCUUAUUCUAUCAACUGGCAUGAGUGAUUUCGAGGUGUGUUUAGCCACACAAUAUUGGGUUAAAGAAUAUGCACCUUUUCUGCUUCCUUAUGUAAAGUUUGUAGGGCAUGAAAAGUUAUAGAAAAUAGUUUCAAAAUUAUUAAUGGACACAUUUUUGAUACUUGGAUCUUAAGUUAUUUUGUAGGACAGAUACUCUCUUUCCAUCAUUUUGUAAGAGAUGGAGCACAAGGUACAUUGGUUGGCAAGAGUUUAUUUGCCAACUGAAAAGCCUCAGAUGUUUUUAACACUUCUUUAAAUUAUUUAUCAACAUUUACCAAGACUCAGUGAAAGAUGCCAGAAAGCAGGGGCCAUUGUAAUCAAUUCUGUUAGAAUUAAGAGUAAUCCUUUGAAUGAUAUUUGUUACGAUGAUAAAUGAUUUGAACACCUUAAUCUACAAAUAGAAUUAAUAUGGGAGACAGCUUCAAGAAGCACUUGAAUUGUGUUCCACCAGACUACCAAAUAGGGGAGACUUAUCAAGGCAAAAACUGCAAGGUUACAGUUGUUACAUAACUUGUUUAUCAAGAAUUAUAAUGGGAGCUGGCAGGAAGUAAGGGUGCUUGUUAAAUAAGGAUUGAUUGGGGUCUGAAAUGGUUGCAUGGUUACAGGAGGGAACAACCUUGAGAUAAGGUUGCAGCUAGCAGAUGGUUUAAAAUGGCUGGUGGGAAAGAAGAUAUACAGAUUGCCAACAAACACAUGGAAGGAUGCUCAACAUCACUAAUCAUUACAGAAAUGCAA